rnacentral:rRNA from 1 species
ACGCUCGACACCUACGGGAGGCUGCAGUGGGGGAUAUUGCACAAUGGAGGAAACUCUGAUGCAGCGACGCCGCGUGAGGGAAGACGGUUUUCGGAUUGUAAACCUCUGUCUUCAGGGACGAAAUGAAUGACGGUACCUGAGGAGGAAGCUCCGGCUAACUACGUGCCAGCGGCCGCGGUAAUCUGAGCGGGCGUGGCGAAGGC